GCAGAAAGCUAGAUCCCAGUCAUGCCGUGGUGUUGAUGAAGGUCAUGCGAUCGUAAAGCUCUUUCAGUUGGACGGAAGAGCAGUGAUCUAGUUUCAUUGCUCUUGGACGUUACCGUCAGAAUAAGCAUCAGGCUAGUUUAUGCCAGCAGCCGCGGUAAUAGGAAGGGGGCGAGCGUUAACUCUAAUUAGUGGGCGUAAAGCGCACGUAUGUGCAUUCGUUAGUAAAAUAAGAAAGCCCCGGGCUCGACCUGAGAACUGCAUCCAAAACUGGCGAGCUAGAGUAUGAGAGAGGGGGGGGGAAUUUCCUGUGUAGCGGUGAAAUGCGUAGAUAUAGGAAGGAACACCAGUGGCGAAGGCGACCCCCUGGGUUAAUAAUGACACUGAGGUGCAAAAGCGUGGGGAGCAAACAGGAUUAGGAUCCCUGGUAGUCCACGCCCUAAACGAUGUCGAUUAGCCGUUGGGAUCCUUGAGAUCUUACUGGCGCAGCUAAGGCAUUAAGUCGACCGCCUGGGGAGUAGGGCCCCAAGGUUAAAAUUCAAAUGAAUUGACGGGGGCCCGCCCAAGCGGUGGAGCAUGUGGUUUAAUUUGAAGCAACGCGAAGAGCCUUACCAGGCCUUGCCAUGCCGAGUACUUUCCAGAGAUGGAUUGGUGCAUUGGGGACAUGAGACCCAGGUCACGCAUGGCGGUUGUCAGUUGUCGUCUUGAGAUGUGGGGUUAAGUCCCGUAUCGAGCGCAACCCUCGUCCUUAGUCACCAGCACGUUAAGGUGGGCACUCUAAGGAGACUGCCGGUGACAAACCGGAGGAAGGUGGGGAUGACGUCAAGUCAUCAUGGCCCUUACGGCCUGGGCUACACACGUCAUACAAUGGUCGGUACAAAGGGUUGCCAACCCGCGAGGUGGAGCCAAUCCCAUAAAACCGAUCGUAGUCCGGAUCGCAGUCUGCAACUCGACUGCGUGAAGUCGGAAUCGCUAGUAAUCGCGAAUCAGCAUGUCGCGGUGAAUACGUUCCCGGGCCUUGUACACACCGCCCGUCACACCAUGGGAGUGGGUUGCUCCAGAAGUAGUGUAGUCUAACCUCAAGGAGGACGAUACCACGUUUUAUCCGUUGCC
rnacentral:rRNA from 1 species